CCUUUGGAGUGUCAAACAAACAUGAGUAGGUUUAUCCGAAAGUGGACACGAUGAACAAGGAA
rfam:Caloramator quimbayensis strain TSBA 833 genome assembly, contig: Ga0105845_101